GCAGAAUCGGACAACGUAUUUAAUAUAACAGAAGGAAACUUUGGGGCUCACGCAACAUCUGCAAGCAAUGAAACUGUGACCCAGAAUCCAAAUUGCACCACUGGAUCAGGCAAUGUAUUAAAUAUAACGCAAGGAAGCUUCAGAACAGAAGCAACACUCACCACUGGCAAAGCAGGAGCUCUGAACUUUACUGCCACCAACAAACCUGACAAAGUAUUAAAUGUAACAGAAAGAAA